GGUGCUGAAGCACUCUGUUCGCGUAACAACUUCAAACAAUUCGAAAAACGAACUCGACGUUUAAGUGGAGAAAUACACAACGAGAGAAAUUAACUUGAACAACUCUGAGCUCAUCGUGACGGUUCUAACAAAUUCUACGAUUCAAUGAUUCAAUGAUUCAAUGAUUCAACGAUUCAACGAUUCAACGAUUCCAAUUAUUUGGAUCACAGAGUAGCCCAUUUAUCUGCUCGGAUUUUACACGACAAUCUAUGAUUUAUUUGUUAUCCAGUAACACAAAUUAUUAUUAACUAAUGCUAAUAAACAUUCAUUUGAUUGAAGUUUAUUAUCGAAGAAGUUUAUCAAGAAAACAGUAGAUUACUGGAAAUAGUAGAUUACUGUAAUUCUUAUUACAUUAAUAAUGAUUGUUUCGUUUCCGUCAGCGGUUGACCACGUGAUGCAGCAUUUGUACCGUGAAACAACUAGAAUUACUGAUGAUGAACGCUUUCUGUUUCUUAUAUCACCGACGAGAUAUAGGAUAGGCGUAACAUUUGUGACGUUAGCCUACCAACAGUCUUGCUGUUUUACCGGUCACCUGACCGGUCUGACUCCCUAUACCAUUUUCGUGUCGCAUGCGACAUUAUCGAUCAAAUAGGUUGUUCGGAGCGUAUCGUUGAUGCCCUGACGAUACGCCAAGGAAGGAAUUUAAACUGAACGAAAAAUAAUCAUGACACAUACCGUAGUAGUGUUAAACUUUAUUUAAACUGUUAAAGCGUGAAACUCAAUGAAGCGACAACACACGGCACGAAACUUAGCCUAGUCUUAUAAUGGUGGUAAGCCGAGCGCGGCUAAGAGUGUCAAGUUUUCUUAGUAACCGAGUAACCAAAACAGUCCUCGUCAUCGGUAAUGGUUAUCGAUAAUUAAAAAGAUUUUUUCGAGGUUUAGCAUCACUAUUUCCCAUUUAAACAAAAAUUACACUUUUGCCCGUGACUCUUUUCAUAAAAAUUUGAGAAAUACUGCUUUUAAUGUUUGAUCGCCGAUUCUUUCCAACGUCUACCGAAAAUACCAAUAAAUAGGACCGUUAACUUACACGUGGUUUUAAUAAUCAUAAAUUAUCGUAAAAAUAUUGUAAAAAAUCCGCACAGAUUAUACAGCAAAAAUAAAAGAGAAAUACUAUAUUAAGAAAUCAAAAUACCAGGUAUACAAGUACUUACUUAUAACGACAAGAAUGAUUGCUACUUUUGACCGUUCAACCGUUUAUUCAUUCUUGCAUAUACGUAUGUAAAACAGCGUGAUGUGACAAUAAAAACCGCUUAUCUUUCUUUGUUCGUUUAUUUCGACAUUUCAAGAUGUAUGGACAAUUAUUACAUAAUAAUUAUAUAUAUUUAUAUAUGUAUAAUGAGAGAGCAAUCCUCCUCUCGCAACUUUUCCCUCCUCUUCCCCCAAAAAAGUCCCCCUUGCCUGAAAUGUGCCUCACUCACUCUCCCUCACACUCUUUCUCCCUUGUUCUCUUUUUCACAAUAAAAGAAUGAAAAGGUAAAAGUAAUAAGAAAGAAACGGCGUCGAUUCGUCGAGUCUACGGAUGAUUUUACGAAACGAUCUUUCUUCUGUUGCGCGCAUUAUUUUCUAAUUAUUUCACGAUCAUGUGAAUGAUAGUACUCCUCCCACAAUGUUUCAUUAUUUAUUUUUUUGUAUUUAUUUUUAUGUUUUUAUUCCAUCCACGUCAUCUUAUUAUCAGUUAGCGUUUACUCGAUAAGAUUAUGAACGUUACCAUUAAUCGUUACAAUUACAAUAAUAACACUAGUGUUGGUUACACCCGUACUUGUCUCGCUCAUCCAUCUAUCCCCACCACGUGGCCAUCUACCCCCACCCAGGAAUCCUGACGACACGUUCAAAUACUGAAUUACAUUACAGUUAAUUUUGUUGCACGCCAAUGUUGUCAAUUAUUUUCUUUCUCUUCUCUCUUUAUUUUCAUAUUGCGUGUAUCCUUCACAUUUCGAAAGAUCGAUAGUAAUAUUUUAUCGAUCCAAAUACGUUUAUUUCUACAUAUACCGCGAUACCGUUUUCAUUCUUCGUUCUCCUACUAAAAUUUUUACCCUCUUCGUUUUCCAAUCAUCUCGUGACCCAUUUUCGUUCCUUCCUCCCUCUUUCGCCCACACAUCAUUCGUUUCGUACUCGAUAUCCUUCGUAAUAAGAGUUUUAUCGUUGCCCUCGUGAAAAAUAUUAUUCUCGUUUGUUAAGUUUCUCUUGGUUAGUUCGUCUAUAAAGAACGUUUUCUUCUGAUCACGCGAUGAUUUUAUUGUUUCUUUACUUCGUUAGUAUUCGUCUCGCAAUUUAUAGUUCGUGCGUUGUUAUCCCGUUUACUAAAACUCCGUUCGUAUUUUUUUUUGUAGGUUUUUAUUCUAUUCUAUUUUUCUUUUUUUUUUCUUUUUUUUUUCGGUUUCUAAUUCUCAUUGGAACUUACAAACCGUGAACUGCUGCUUCUCGAUAAUUGGGAGCAACGAUAACGAUUUCUCGAUCCACAAUCUAGUAAUUUCUUGUUCCUUUGUCAUCUUCCAAAUGCAAAUUCAAAAUUUGAAAUUCCUUUUGUUAAAGAUAUAUCGGUAGCUGUUAAGUUAACUGAUUGAGCCGGUAAAAAUGUUGUAGAUUGAAAAAUCGCGGCUUGCCAUAGUUCAAUAGUUAGCCGGAUGAGAGUGUGUGCUUAUUACAAAAUAAUAACGUUGGGUCUGUUGUAAAAUAACAAUUUAUAGCUUAUGGCAUGAAAAAGCGUCCGAAGGCGAGAAAUAUGUCGUCGUGCAAAAAUCGAAAGAUUUUCGUGGUUUUUUUCUUAAAAAUCCCUGAAUUUCACGCUGGUAAGCGAAUAGAAAGAAAAUUGAAAUAAACGAACGAAAUA